rnacentral:rRNA from 1 species
CGUGAGUAACCUGCCCUUGACUUUGGGAUAACUUCAGGAAACUGGGGCUAAUACCGGAUAGGAGCUCCUGCUGCAUGGUGGGGGUUGGAAAGUUUCGGCGGUUGGGGAUGGACUCGCGGCUUAUCAGCUUGUUGGUGGGGUAGUGGCUUACCAAGGCUUUGACGGGUAGCCGGCCUGAGAGGGUGACCGGCCACAUCGGGACUGAGAUACGGCCCAGACUCCUACGGGAGGCAGCAGUGGGGAAUAUUGCACAAUGGGCGGAAGCCUGAUGCA